rnacentral:rRNA from 1 species
AUUGAACGCUGGCGGCAUGCCUUACACAUGCCAGUCGAACGGCAGCAUGAUCUAGCUUGCUAGAUUGAUGGCGAGUGGCGAACGGGUGAGUAAUACAUCGGAACGUGCCCUGUAGUGGGGGAUAACUAGUCGAAAGAUUAGCUAAUACCGCAUACGACCUGAGGGUGAAAGUGGGGGACCGCAAGGCCUCAUGCUAUAGGAGCGGCCGAUGUCUGAUUAGCUAGUUGGUGAGGUAAAGGCUCACCAAGGCGACGAUCAGUAGCUGGUCUGAGAGGACGAUCAGCCACACUGGGACUGAGACACGGCCCAGACUCCUACGGGAGGCAGCAGUGGGGAAUUUUGGACAAUGGGCGAAAGCCUGAUCCAGCAAUGCCGCGUGUGUGAAGAAGGCCUUCGGGUUGUAAAGCACUUUUGUCCGGAAAGAAAUGGCUCUGAUUAAUACCUGGGGUCGAUGACGGUACCGGAAGAAUAAGGACCGGCUAACUACGUG